rnacentral:rRNA from 1 species
GAUUGAACGCUGGCGGCAGGCCUAACACAUGCAAGUCGAGCGGAUGAAGGGAGCUUGCUCCUGGAUUCAGCGGCGGACGGGUGAGUAAUGCCUAGGAAUCUGCCUGGUAGUGGGGGAUAACGUCCGGAAACGGGCGCUAAUACCGCAUACGUCCUGAGUGAGAAAGUGGGGGAUCUUCGGACCUCACGCUAUCAGAUGAGCCUAGGUCGGAUUAGCUAGUUGGUGGGGUAAAGGCCUACCAAGGCGACGAUCCGUAACUGGUCUGAGAGGAUGAUCAGUCACACUGGAACUGAGACACGGUCCAGACUCCUACGGGAGGCAGCAGUGGGGAAUAUUGGACAAUGGGCGAAAGCCUGAUCCAGCCAUGCCGCGUGUGUGAAGAAGGUCUUCGGAUUGUAAAGCACUUUAAGUUGGGAGGAAGGGAAGUAAGUUAAUACCUUGCUGUUUUGACGUUACCAACAGAAUAAGCACCGGCUAACUUCGUG